rnacentral:rRNA from 1 species
GAGCUNAUACAUGCUGAAAACCCCAACUUCGGGAGGGGUGUAUUUAUUAGAUAAAAAACCAACGCCCUUCGGGGCUUCUUGGUGAUUCAUGAUAACUUCACGGAUCGCAUGGCCUUGCGCCGGCGACGGUUCAUUCAAAUUUCUGCCCUAUCAACUUUCGAUGGUAAGGUAUUGGCUUACCAUGGUUUCAACGGGUAACGGGGAAUUAGGGUUCGAUUCCGGAGAGGGAGCCUGAGAAACGGCUACCACAUCCAAGGAAGGCAGCAGGCGCGCAAAUUACCCAAUCCCGACACGGGGAGGUAGUGACAAUAAAUACUGAUACAGGGCUCUUUUGGGUCUUGUAAUUGGAAUGAGUACAAUUUAAACCUCUUAACGAGGAACAAUUGGAGGGCAAGUCUGGUGCCAGCAGCCGCGGUAAUUCCAGCUCCAAUAGCGUAUAUUAAAGUUGUUGCAGUUAAAAAGCUCGUAGUUGAAACUUGGGCCUGGCUGGCAGGUCCGCCUCACCGCGUGUACUUGUCCGGCCGGGCCUUUCCUUCUGGAGAACCUCAUGCCCUUCACUGGGUGUGUUGGGGAACCAGGACUUUUACUUUGAAAAAAUUAGAGUGUUCAAAGCAGGCCUUUGCUCGAAUACGUUAGCAUGGAAUAAUAGAAUAGGACGUGCGGUCCUAUUUUGUUGGUUUCUAGGACCGCCGUAAUGAUUAAUAGGGACAGUCGGGGGCAUCAGUAUUCAAUUGUCAGAGGUGAAAUUCUUGGAUUUAUUGAAGACUAACUACUGCGAAAGCAUUUGCCAAGGAUGUUUUCAUUAAUCAGUGAACGAAAGUUAGGGGAUCGAAGACGAUCAGAUACCGUCGUAGUCUUAACCGUAAACUAUGCCGACUAGGGAUCGGGCGAUGUUCUUUUUCUGACUCGCUCGGCACC